GGAAUUGACGGGGCCCGCACAAGCGGUGGAGCAUGUGGUUUAAUUCGACGCAACGCGAAGAACCUUACCAGGGCUUGACAUCCCCUGACCGCGUAUGAAAGUACGUUUUCACCCUCGGGUGACAGGGAGACAGGUGGUGCAUGGUUGUCGUCAGCUCGUGUCGUGAGAUGUUGGGUUAAGUCCCGCAACGAGCGCAACCCCUACGUUUAGUUGCUAACGCGUGAAGGCGAGCACUCUAGACGAACUGCCGUUGACAAAACGGAGGAAGUGGGGAUGACGUCAAAUCAUCAUGCCCCUUAUGUUCUGGGCUACACACGUGCUACAAUGGCCGGUACAGACGGACGCAAAGCCGCGAGGUGGAGCAAAUCCUAAAAAGCCGGUCUCAGUUCGGAUUGCAGGCUGCAAUUCGCCUGCAUGAAGUCGGAAUCGUUAGUAAUCGCAGGUCAGCAUACUGCGGUGAAUACGUUCCCGGGCCUU
rnacentral:rRNA from 1 species